rnacentral:rRNA from 1 species
AAGACCUUGCACUUUUGGAGCGGCCGAUGUCUGAUUAGCUAGUCGGUGGGGUAAUGGCCUACCAAAGCUUCGAUCAGUAGCUGGUCUGAGAGGACGGCCAGCCACACUGGGACUGAGACACGGCCCAGACUCCUACGGGAGGCAGCAGUGGGGAAUUUUGGACAAUGGGCGCAAGCCUGAUCCAGCCAUGCCGCGCGAGUGAAGAAGGCCUUCGGGUUGUAAAGCUCUUUCAGCCGGGAAGAAAAGGUUGCGACUAAUAAUCGCAAUUCAUGACGGUACCGAAAGAAGAAGCACCGGCUAACUACGUGCCAGCAGCCGCGGUAAUACGUAGGGUGCGAGCGUUAAUCGGAAUUACUGGGCGUAAAGGGUGCGCAGGCGGUUUUGUAAGUCAGAUGUGAAAUCCCCGGGCUUAACCUGGGAACU